AGACCAUGCCUUUCAGGCAUCCUCUCCUAAACUUAAAGCCGCUCUUCGGGGCGGCUUUUUCUUUAGGCAUC
rnacentral:sRNA from 1 species